UGAUUGGAGUCCCUAAAUAUUUGCAUAAUUACCCAUCACUCCGUGUCAAAUUGCAACUGAGGCUGCGAAAGGGAAGCACAUAAAUCGACGCCAUUUUUCAACAGAUCCACAUGAAUAGUAGGUUUCUGUGCUCACAAAAUCCUAGUAAUAUUCUUUUAAUGAUACAUGUAACAAUAGAAAUAAGGAAUAAAGAAGAGCAGGAAACAUUUCCAUUUUGAGGAUUUAUGGAACAGAGGACUUUUUUGACUUGUUUUUACUUUAACUUGGACUUUUUAACAAUAAUUAUGCUUCUUAAAUUUUAAACUUUAUUGUUAUGUGUUUUUUUUUUUUUUAACUUUCAAAGUAUUUAAGUUGUAUUAAAUUUUGUUUAUUUGAUUGAAGCUUAUUUACUUAUAAUUAUUUAAGAUAUCAUUUACACAUGUUUCAUUUUAACAUUAUUUUUAUGCAUUUGUAUUUAUUUAUCUUUUAAUAAACUUUUUUUUUCUUAA